rnacentral:rRNA from 1 species
CAGCCGCCGCGGUAAUACGAAGGGGGCUAGCGUUGCUCGGAAUGACUGGGCGUAAAGGGCGCGUAGGCGGCGAUCAAAGUCAGGCGUGAAAUUCCUGGGCUCAACCUGGGGGCUGCGCUUGAUACUUGGUUGCUUGAGUGGGGAAGAGGGUCGUGGAAUUCCCAGUGUAGAGGUGAAAUUCGUAGAUAUUGGGAAGAACACCGGUGGCGAAGGCGGCGACCUGGUCCUUGACUGACGCUGAGGCGCGAAAGCGUGGGGAGCAAACAGGAUUAGAUACCCGAGUAGUCCCUGUCUCUUAUAC